GGUGUCAAUCUGUUCAAGCGUUGAAGCCUUCGGAGAACCGUAAUGGUGAGAAGUAGGUGAAUGCGUGAGUAGGCGGGCGCAGGCCCGCUUCGGGUGAUUCCAGGUGCCAAUGAAAGGGUCACUAGUUUAGGCUAUUGUGUUCGUACCUAGAACUGACACAGGUGCCCCUAGGUGAGAAGCCUAAGGCGUGUCGGCGUAAUCCGUGCGAGGGAAUUCGGCAAAUUAGCCCCGUACCUUUGGAAUAAGGGGUGCCAGCAAUGAGAAUUGCUGGUCUCAGUAACAAGGGAGCUCCGACUGUUUAAUAAAAACACAGGUCACAGCUAGUUCGAAAGGAUGUGUAUUGUGGCUGAAGCCUGCCCAGUGACGGUAUCUGAACCUCUGUUUCAACGGAGCGAAGGACCGUUAAACGGCGGGGGUAACUAUGACCCUCUUAAGGUAGCGUAAUACCUUGUCGCUUAAUUGGCGACUUGCAUGAAGGCCCAACGAGAGCUCUACUGUCCCCGCAUGGAGACCGGUGAAACUGAUUGUACCGGCGCACAAUCCGGUAUCUUCCACCUGAAAGCGAAGACCCCAUGGAGCUUUACUGCAACCUGUUGUUGUGGUACGAGCCUCGAUGUGUAGAGUAGGCAGGACUCGUUACCAGGGCAUGCCGCUAGGCAUGUUCCGAGAGGCCAAUGAAACACUGCCCUUCGAGGUUCGUAUCACUUACUCCUCCGGGAGGACAGCUAUAGGUAGGCAGUUUGGGUGGGGCGCCACGCGCUCAAAAAGAUAACAAGCGCGCCCAAAGGUCAGCUCAGGUAGGUCAGAAAUCUACCGUUGAAUGCAAGGGUAUAAGCUGGCUUGACGCGGGUUGGGACAAUAACAAUCCGCGAUACGAAAGUAGGGCCUAGCGAACCACUCAGCCUUCUGAAUGGGGGCGAGUGAUAACAGAAAAGUUACCCUGGGGAUAACUGAGUCGUCGCUAGCAAGAGUUCAUAUCGACCUAGCGGUUUGCUACUUCGCUGUCGGCUCUCCCUAUCCUGGCGGUGCAGCAGCUGCCAAGGGUGGGGUUGUUCGCCCAUUAAAAGGGAUCGUGAGCUGGGUUUAGACCGUCGUGAGACAGGUUUGUUGCUUUUUGGUGGAAGUGUAUUGAUGCCUGACGGGAAGGAUCCUUUAGUACGAGAGGAACAAGGAUUCGUCGCCUCUAGUUCAUCAGUUGUCUGGCAAGGCAAUGCUGAGCAGCCACGCGAUAGUGGGUAAGAGCUGAAAGCAUCUAAGCUCGAAACUACCCCGGAAAAGAGGCAUCUUAGAACAUCCGUAAAAGACGGGCUUGAUAGGACAGGGGUGUAAGUACCAAGGUUCGCCGAGGUAUUCAGCCCGCUGUUACUAACGUUCGCGCCGCUAGU
rnacentral:rRNA from 1 species